rnacentral:rRNA from 1 species
GACGAACGCUGGCGGCGUGCCUAAUACAUGCAAGUUGAGCGCUGAAGGUUGGUACUUGUACCGACUGGAUGAGCAGCGAACGGGUGAGUAACGCGUGGGGAAUCUGCCUUUGAGCGGGGGACAACAUUUGGAAACGAAUGCUAAUACCGCAUAAAAACUUUAAACACAAGUUUUAAGUUUGAAAGAUGCAAUUGCAUCACUCAAAGAUGAUCCCGCGUUGUAUUAGCUAGUUGGUGAGGUAAAGGCUCACCAAGGCGAUGAUACAUAGCCGACCUGAGAGGGUGAUCGGCCAAAUUGGGACUGAGACACGGCCCAAACUCCUACGGGAGGCAGCAGUAGGGAAUCUUCGGCAAGGGACGAAAGUCUGACCGAGCAACGCCGCGGGAGUGAAGAAGGUUGUCGGAUCGUAAAACUCGGUUGGUAGAGAAGAACGUUGGUGAGAGUGGAAAGCUCAUCAGGUGACGGUAACUACCCAGAAAGGGACGGCUAACUACGUG